rnacentral:rRNA from 1 species
CCCGCACAAGCGGUGAGCAUGUGGUUUAAUUCGAAGCAACGCGAAGACCUUACAGGUCUGACAUCCCGAUGCUAUUCUAGAGAUAGAAAGUUACUUCGGUACAUCGGUGACAGGUGGUGCAUGGUUGUCGUCAGCUCGUGUCGUGAGAUGUUGGGUUAAGUCCCGCAACGAGCGCAACCCCUAUUGUUAGUUGCCAUCAUUCAGUUGGGCACUCUAGCGAGACUGCCGGUAAUAAACCGGAGGAAGGUGGGGAUGACGUCAAAUCAUCAUGCCCCUUAUGACCUGGGCUACACACGUGCUACAAUGGUUGGUACAACGAGUUGCGAGUCGGUGACGGCGAGCUAAUCUCUUAAAGCCAAUCUCAGUUCGGAUUGUAGGCUGCAACUCGCCUACAUGAAGUCGGAAUCGCUAGUAAUCGCGGAUCAGCACGCCGCGGUGAAUACGUUCCCGGGCCUU